AAAAAAGCUCUCUCAUUCAAGAAGUCCAAAUAAGGAGAAUGGGCUGGGGAAUCUCAAGAAGCCCAAAUAAGGAGAAUGGGCUGGGGAAUUUGAGGUCCUCGGAAGGCAAGGUAAAUAUUGCGCCUGCCUGGCGGGACCCACAGGGCCACACGUGGCAGGAGUAGGUUGCGCCCGGAAGGUCUCCCGGGGAGCCCCCGGGAGGGUUCACUUCGAGGCGAAGCAAGUGGUGGCGUACUCAGGAGCAAGAGGGCACGACAGUCGAGGCAAGCUGUCAACUGCUUGUCUCAUCCCUGUAAAAACACCAUCAUUACGGUCGAUGGAAC
rnacentral:lncRNA from 1 species